rnacentral:lncRNA from 1 species
GUCAACAACUGUUAUAUAUGCGACAUUCUGCCAAAUCAUCUCUUAAAUGGGUUUAGGCACUACUUUAAAAGACGUAAUUAUUUGCAAGGGCGUAUUUUAAAAAAAAAAAUAGAGACCAAAAUUCAAAUUGCUCAUAUUUGGUUACCCAGAUAUCUGAAGCAAGGCAAAUCAAUAAUCUUACACAUUUAAACUCAAUCAUUUUUGGUUAAAGCAAUUAGAUCACAAUUCCAAUACCCAAUUUGUAUUUUCUUAGCAACCAACAACAAUCAAAACAUGAACUUUCUCUAAUGGGGUUACAUAAAAAUCAAAACUCUAACACAAUACCAAGUUUUAACAACAAUCAAAACAUUAAAACAGGAAAUUUCUCAAAUGGGGUUACAUAA